rnacentral:lncRNA from 1 species
GGUACUUGUAUCAUUCAAGUCAUCCGAAUCUACUUUAUUCUCGAGCACAUGUUUGACACCAUCAUGAUUCGCUUUUCUUUCUGCGCAGGGCUGCUUUGUUCAAGAUUGUAGUUGCUGCACAUCUAUUCAAAGGGAUUUGUAUGCGGGUUGGCCUUCGGUAGGAGCAUGCUGCGGGCCCGGACCGGGGCUGGGUGCCCCUCCCCGCCCUCCUCGUCCUCCUCGCCGCCACCCCGCACCCUACGUCACACCCCUCGAUAUCAGUGAGUACUAUUUCAUACCCUCUCCGUGUGUCUGUGUACCUUCCAGGAAUGUUCAUGUCUUUCCAUUUACGUUUGAAGAGUGGAAUUUCAAAACGUGAGAAGCGCCAGCAUUUGUUUCUAGAGCACCUAUACGUAGGUUGAGAACGGACAUGCCGGUAAUUUUGAGUUUAGAUCAUGGAG